AUGGAAUUGUUAACGGGGGCUGAUGCUGUUGCAGUCAUUUCUUUGACUGCAAACGUGCUCGCUUUCAUUAAUAAAUUGUCUAAUAAACACACCUGUGCACCCUGUGAGGAUUUCCAGCUUGAUUGCUAGAUUUUCCCCAUUCUCUGAAUCACAUACACCGAAUUUAUAAUGUCGAACGUGAAUUGUGCCUAAUGGCCUUAAUAGUAAUA
rnacentral:misc_RNA from 1 species